rnacentral:piRNA from 1 species
UGACAACUAGACAGGAAGAAUGCUUACAAU